UGUUUCCAUACCUCAUAUGAAAUAGUUUUUUAUUUAUCUUUUCCACAAUAUAUUUGCUUAAUUAUCAUCUAAAACCAAUAAAAAUUAUAAAUCUUAAACAUAAGCUUUCCUUUGCAUCCAAAUUUUGCCAUCUCUGUUUAACAUGUAGACAUUAGUAUAAUAUUAUAUUUAAUAAUUAAUUGUCCCAGUUUUCUUUUUCAUGCUUUUUUAUUUUAUUAUUAUACACACCAAAUUUUAAUACCUAAGGUUAAGGGUUUUGAAAACCCCUAACCCAAAAGAUAAGCAAUGGUAACGGUGAUUAAUGUCUUAGCACGCAUGGCUAAUCAUCUUGUGCUGCAGUGAAUCAUAUCUGGGGCUGUUCUGAGCAAUGUGUCUUCCAUUUCUUAGCUUUUGAAUUAAAUGUGAAAAGCAGUGUUAAGGUGUAUCUGUUAUACAUGUGGAAGAGCGCAGAUUGGAGAUGGAAAUUUUACAUUAAGAGCGCAACGGUAUAAUUUAAAUACUCCUAACCCGGGACACAUAAAAUAUCAAUCUGAUUUACUGCCAGGUUAACUCCAUCAUUUCAAAUUUAUCAAUCAGCACAAGUUAGUAUCAGCGGUUUCAUUUAAUAUUACAUCAACCUGUCAAAGGAGCCAAGCUCAUCAGUAGCUAAUCUUUCCUUCGCCUCCUUCAAAAUCACACCGGCUCUCUCAUCCAGAGAGAAACACUUUCAUUUGAAAAGCAUUAGGCCUGUUCCUCUGUUCUCACUGUUCCUCCUUUCACCAUGAAGCUUUUAUCUAUCCCUUUAUCCCAGCGUUCCUGUCAGGACGUUAUCUCUCUCAAAAUUUACAUUUUAAUUACAAGGCCUGCUGAACUCGGGAAAAUCAAUAACGCCACCAUUGGCAGCUCCACUCUGUGUCUACUGCUGGUCCUCUCUAUUUCCUCUUAUUGAUUUAUCUCUUUAGCACCUGCAACUUUAUUGCUUCAGACAAAUAGCUACCAUUUGGUCAAUUUGAACAGAAAAAGAAAGGAUUUGGUCGUAUUUCUUGAUUUCACACACUUGAGCGCGGCUAUGAUGCAGUUGGUCAUUGAAAGGAGUUGAAUCUGGAUUAACUGUUUACACCAGAGGAUCAAGAUCUGCACAGCAAAAUCACCAGUGUUAAAUUUUCAGGGAUGGUGUUAAAUACACAGUGUUGAUGCUGUUUUAACACUAUCUGGUAAUAAAAUAACACUGCCAUUGCUAGGCCAGUGUUAUAUUCACGACAGUGUCAGUGUAAAACAAGGGUGUUAUCAGAUUUCACUCUGAGCGGUGUAAAUCAAGCCACGCCUCCACUAAACAUAUCCUGUCAGGGAUUUUACCGCCAUUUUCUUUCACCGGAGGACUGAAGAGAUCAGGUAAAUCAGUCUCAUAAUAUUCACAUGGUUUGGCUAAAUUAAACUGUUAUUUCUCUGUCUGACUCUACGCAGCCAUAUGCCAAAAAACCUAAAUAAGAUAUUUUUCCCAUUUUAUUUCCCCUUUGUUCGUUAUUUGGUUCAGUUUAAUCAGAGCUACCUUGUGUUACGUUGUUCCCUUGUUAGUUUAGUAUAAAGUUAAACUGCUAGCUAAAAGUUUAAAACCAAGAAGGAUAAUAUUAACAGGAGAUAUGAACGAAAGAAUUGAACCAUGAUAAAACGCGACAUGCACUACAAAUUGAAGGUAUGAAAUUAAGUUAAAUGAAAGCUCGUUUAUUCACCAUAUGAUGCUCGUUAUGAGGUAAUCAUAUAGGCUAGAUAUCGUGAGUUAACGAGGUCGUUUACAUGCACGUGAGUGCACGGAUAUCGGUUAAUUAUUCAAAUUACUGAAAAACACGGAGAAAACCGCAACCGCAUUGUCAUAUGUUUUUCUAAGAUGUAUGCAAACAGGGGAAAUAUCGCCAAACCAACAAUUAAUUUUACCAAAACCUCACAAUAUAUCAUCAUUUGUAUGCACAGAUUGCUGGAUUGGAUGCAUUGUGUGUUGUAAGCUUUUCGUGGCGCUAUAUGUCAGACAGAUGCAAAUGGCAAAUACAUACAAAGUGUAAAACGUGUAAGGCUAACGUGAACGUUUGUUUUUUUUCUGUCAUUAUAGAUGCUAGUUUGGUGAAAGUUCACACUGAGUGCUUCAAAUCAUUCAGAAGAGAUGCUGUUUUUAGGGCAGUUUAUUAAAGAAGACCUGACAUGGAUGACUUCCAAUGAGAAACGACUGCUAAUACUUAUAUAAAUUCAUUACAGAAGGACCCUACCAGACUAUAUUUGAAUACGGCAUACUCAUGAAUUCUGGAACUGUUAUUCCUUAACCCAGUUUGGAGGAUCAGAGCUUACCAACUAGUUAUAAAUAUGCUGAGGUGAUGUAUUGCAAAAUAGCCAACAUACAACAAUAUGGAUGACCCUCUGUCUGGUCAACAGGAGUUUAAAUAUGGACGGGACAGUGAUGUGGCAGCUCUUCCCUGGCUCAUUCACCUCUUGCCUUCAUUUGUGAAAGGAAGAAAGACUGGAGAGGGUCAAUGUGCAACUGAAGCUACUGAUUGUGCUAUGUGAUGAGCAUCAAUCCAUGCUUUGAGGGGAAUGAAUCAGCACAGCCCUGCCUGCACUGCGUUGGGAACAGAAGUUGCAUCCAGAAUUUUUGCAUCAUUCUGGACCAGAAAGCCAUUCCCUCCAUGAUGAAGACCACUGAUGCAGCCUUCCACUACAUCAUGAGUAAAACAACUACAGAACUAAAUACCAGGUUGGAACGUAUUUAAGAAAAAUGAAACGUCUUUUGAAUUGAAAUGUCUGUUUUGUUAUGGAAAAAUCUUUAGUAUUGUGAAGGAUAAGCAUUUCUGCCUGCCAGUAAGGUAAUUGCAGUGUAUUUUAAUGUUCAAGUUUUGAGUAGGGUGGCUAAUUUUUUUUAAACUCUCAUUUGAUAUAUUAAAGACCUUAUAAUAAGUGGUUUUCAUGUCACUGCGCUGUGGUAUAAGAUAACUUUCAUUAUUCCAUACUGUAUUCUGUAUUCUAAUUGUAGCUGAGGUAUUUAAAUAAGCAGUGUUAAAUGCAAAGUGUUGUGUGUAUCAAUGUAAAUAUUAAAUGUGAUGUACUUUAAUAAAAAGAGGUUUUGCAAUAUUUCUUGCCAUUUGUCUUUUAUAGAAACAACCCAUUAGCAACAAAAGUGGCUAUUAAUCAGUAUUUUAACACUUAACAUUGUUGAAUUCACAUUACACUGGUGUUGACCUUAAAUUAGGAGUGUUAAUUUUUAACACUGUAUUUCUGUGCCAACACCAGUGUAGUGUGGAAACAACAAUGAAUAGUGUUGAAC